CACAAAGGAUGGCAGAGGAGAUCUCUCUGUGCUUCUCAGACCCAUGAUGAAGACUGUCAAUUUAUUCUUCACCUGCAUAGGCUGUACCACUACUUCUUUUCUUCGCGGCUGUCUUUCUGAAGUUCUAAUGAGCUCUUGUGAUGUGCUACAUGAAACCAAGUACCCUGACCCACAGGCACAGGAUUCGUCACGAACAAGAUAAUAUUUCAGAAAGUGCCGGGCAGGCUAGCCCGAUUAACUCCUGCUUGGCGGGGACACCUGUGACUAGAAGGGAAGCAGGGCACACCCUCCCUUCUUGGUGCUUGCUUCCUCAGCAUCCUCUCCUUCCUAGGGUGCUAUGACCCUGCAUGUGCAGGUUUACUCUUUAGAUUCCUACCUGCAGGGGCUGCUGUUUGGUGCCUUGAAGAAAAUAAGGCAGACUUUGGCAAGUAAACAGAAUUCUGGAAAGGAUUCUGACCCACCCCAGAUUCCUACAUAAUCUGACUCUGCCCUCCUGCCCUGUACUUCCCUGCCCUCUUCCCCAUCACCCAGACUGGGCACGAGACAGAAGCAGCAGUAAGAGGAGCAUGUUCCUGGGAAACAUCUGACCAGGUGAAGCUUUGUGAAGUGGAGGCUUCCAGAUGAUGAGGUGAUUCUUUCCAACUGAUUUUUUUUUUUUUUAAGUCCUAGCCAAAGCAUACCCAUCCUGCCAGGAGACCAGGAAUGGUCUCUACCAUUCCAUGGAAGGCAGCUGAGUGUCUGCAGGAUACAGCUGGAGCCUGAAGGAGUAAGACAAGCUGGAAUGUAUGGUUGGCUGAACUGCUGAGAUACGACACGUGAGAAGGCUCUCAGGCAGGACAACAUACAUGCCACAUUGGAGGAAAGACGGAGCGUCAACAAAGGCACAUCACCUCACCUCACAGCACCUCACCUCCUCAAUACCAAGGCCUCCUUACCUCCGGGACCUUGACUCCUGCAGGGAAGAAGAUGGAAUGCACUCCUCCCUCAUCUAUUGGGUCUGAAACUCUGUGCUCAAUACAGUCUGUAGUGGCUUAAAUAAGAAUGGCCCCCAUAGGCUCAUAUAUUUGAAUACUUUUGAUCCUCCGUUGGUGGAACUGUUUGGAAAGGAUUGGGGGGUCUGGCCUUGGAAGGUGUGUAUCACUGGGGACCAGCUUUGAGGUUUCAGAAGUCUACACCAUUCCCAGGAUCUCCCCUCCCCAUACUUGUAGAUGAGGUGAGAGCUGUGUUUGCCUGCCUGCUGCCGUGCUCCCUACCAUGAUGGUCAUGGAUUCACCCUCUGAAACGGUGAGUCCCUAUAAUCUCUUUCUUCUGUAAGUUUCUUUGUCUCAUCACAGCAAUAGGAAAGUAAGACACAGUGCAGGGAUAGGUAGAAUGCUGGUGUCCUACAGAUUUCAGAGAUGAUCUGGCUUUUUCAAUUCUUUGUGUGUAGAAGCUGUUUGAAAAAUCUAAUAGGAUUUAUGAACCCCUCUCUCCCUCCAAAUGCCUAUUAACAGUUAAUACUUUUGGCAUCUUGGCAUUUUAAGCCCUGGGCUAAGGACUCUGAUCUAAUUCCACUGCUUCAUUUUCCAUUUGGAGACAUCACGUUUCCAACACAGGAUAUGACUUGCCCACAGCCACUCAGCAGAAACCCUGAGUAGAGUAGCCUGGUUGAAACUGAAAGACACCAACACCCAGCAACCAACCAUCAGAAGCCAGGCUCAUCAUGCUGCUAGAGAGGUGAAAGGCUAAUGUUGGAAAGGAAUGCACCUUCUCUCCUCUGGUUUGAGCUGAGUUUCUAACUGGAAAACCAGGAGGUUUUCUUUAUCUUGCCCUCAGUCCAGGAUCCACCCAUGGCUCAGGCUGCCUUGACCACUGUUUAUCUCAGCAAAUUUGUAAAAACCCACUUCACCUGGGCACUUUUAGAAAAGGACUGAGCGAGAGCCUGCUUUAUAGAAUUCUAAAGGGUUGUAAUUGAGUUCUGUCAUGGAUAUUUAGUAAGUAUUCUGAAUCAGUGUCUGCCUGUGUACUUAGGAGUCUUCUCAAGAGUCCUAGAGACCCGCCUUCAUGACUAAACGAAACUUUCCCAACUCAUCCAUCAAUUGGCUAAUAUGUAGGUGGAUUAGUCUUUCAAGAGCUGAAAUGUCCUGGAAUCUUACACUAGCAAAUUCAUUUCGUAUAUUUUGAAUUCAUUAGACAGACAUUCUUUGGAGUUGGCAUGGAAGAAAAGAAGUGUUAUGGGUUUGGGAGUUAGGGAGUUAAUGAGACACAGAUUCAAAUGUCUGACCUGCUUUAUGUAGACUUGUGAUUAUUCUAUCAGACUUUCUGAGACCCCCUCAUCUGAAAAGUAAGAGUCAUACCACUCACUUCUCAAGUCUUAAAAAAAUGUUGGUUGUCAAACAUCUACAAAAGCCAAGUUCAACCUAGACUGUUCUCCACAAUUGAGAUUUUUUUUUUUUGCCCAGAAGAAAAUCUACAGUAUAUUGAUGUGUUUGAAGUCAUUAGAUUAAAGUUGUGUUUUUAAUAGAACAAUAAAACAGCAAGAUAGUGGUUUCUUGACAUGAAAGUUCAUGACUAAAAUCUUCAGCAGUAUGGUUUAGGGUUACUGUUUUCACACUGCCUGCCGAGUUUUCAGACUCUACCUACUUAACUUUCUCAAAUUGUUCUCACUCUUUCUUCAUGGGAAAUAUUUCUUAAGUAAAUUACUCUGAGAAACCAAAAAAUUUGCAGUAGAAAACUUUCCUGAGUCUUUAUUUUUUUAUUUUUAGAAAAAAACCCUAUUCAACUGGCAAAUCUAAAUAAUGGUUAGCGAUUCUUUAUGUAGAGAAUUCAUAACUUUUUACUGUAAUUGAAAAGGAACACACCAAGCAAUUACUUAGUCACGGAUAAAACCCACGUUCCACUUUCGAAAUACUGACUAACCUGACAGGAGAGACAAGACUCUUGUAAUUAAAUACUAAAAUCUAACCAUUCAAGACAAGCACAACACGUUGCACAAUUUCCCUCUGUAGUCACAAUAGCCUUCUUUCCCUCUUGGACAUAUAUCAGUAAUAAUUGAACAUGAAAUUAAAAGGUUAUUUUACUAUAAGAAAUCAGUUUACAUUUUCAGCAAAGAAUAAAGCCUCAUUAAUUUGGAUUUUACCAGUUUCAUAAGGAGAGAAAAUACCAUUAGUAGUGUGGAUAAAAUUCCCUUGAGACUAAGACAAGACUCUUAAGGGAGCAAAACCAUAAACAAAUGUACAAAUUCAUUUGCAUACUGAUGCUUGGAAUCAUCACUGGGCUUGCACCCAGUGGAAUUCCCAAGCCUGGAGACUUUCACACUGUUUUAGUGCUCUUUGAGGGUGUGCUCAGGAGCAAAUGAAGCACAGGCACAUUUUCCUAGAAAGAUGGGCAGCUUGAUUGCAUGGGGAUGUAUCUGCAAGCCAUCUAGCAUAACUGCCAUUCAGCCAGGGAUUAUACUACAUUUCCCAGGCUGCCUUGCCUUAGGGUAGAGCUGGGUGAUUAGCUCUGACCAAGGCAUGAGAAAAAAAGAUGUUGCUGUGCUUGGAUCUCUCAGGAUUAAGAAGCAAAGGCUCUUUCUUCCUGCUCUUCUCUGUCCAUCACCCAGAGGAAGACAAUUACAUGUCUCAAUCCAUGAUGGUGUCACAGGUUGAAUUAUCCUCCCUUUCUCCUCCAAAUUCAUAUAUCAAAUCCUAAACCACAGUGUGACCUCUUUGAAAAUGGGACUGUCAUCAGGUAAAUUAGUUAAGAUUAAUUCAUACUGGACUAGAGAAGGCCCUUAAUCCAGUAUGUCUUGUAUUCUCAUAGAAGAGAAAUUUGGGACCUGGUGUGCUAGCACACUCCUGUAACUCCAGCACUUGGGGGUCAGUGGAUCUUUGUGAAUUCAAGGCCAACCUGAUCUACAUACCAAGUUCCAGACCAGCUAGAACUACACAGUGAGAUUCUGUUUCAAAAAGACAGGAAGUGGGGGUGGGGCAGAUAUUUGGACCCAGUCACAAAAUACAGGAAAGAUGAAUUGCAAAUCGAAGUAAAGGCAGCAGAGAGAGAAGCCUGGACUAUACCCUUGGCUCACAACCACAGAAGUAAAUAGCCCUGCCUACAUCUCGGCCUUGAACUUCCAGUCUCUAGAACAGAGAGAUAACAAGCUACCCAGGCUGGAAUGCUCUGCUACCAUAGCCUGAGCAGACCAAUACAGACAGUAAAACAGAAGAUGGAAAGGGCCUGGCACAGAAUUCCAUCACUUCAGAAUAAAAGCAUACUGCUGAGCAGACACCUCCAUGGUACUGAGCCAGAAAGGAAACUUUUAUUGUGUCAGACCAAACACAUUCAGAGCCUAUUUGUUAUCACAGCUAGCAUUACCCUAUAUAGGAUUUAAAGUCCUUUAACUGCAUGUAAAUGAAAGCAAACAGGAAAACAUCAGAGAACAAUGCAAAUGCCAUCAAUUGUUGGGGAAAAUUAUUUUAAGGUGUGUUACUUUUGUUUAUGUUGCAUUUGUUUAACUCUGUGAAGCUGUGUUACUUUGCCUGUCUAAAACACCGGAUGGUCUAAUAAAGAGCUGAACAGCCAAUGAAGAGGCAGAAGAAGGACAGGUGGUGAUGGCAGACAGAAAGAAUUAACAGGAGAAAUCUGGGAGGAGAGAAAAAGAAGUAUCCAGAGAAGGAGGAGAACUCCAGGGACCAGCCACCCAGUUAUAUAGCAAGCCACAGAGUAAGAUUUACAGAAGAGAAUGGGAAAAGCCCAGAGGCAAAAGACAGAUGGGUUAAGUAAAGCUGGCUAGCAACAAGCCAAGCUAAGACCAGGCAUUUAUAAGUAAGAAUAAGCCUCAAUGUAUGAUUUAUUUGAGAACUGGGUGGCAGGUCCCCCAAAAGAGCAAAAACAAAGAACAAUCAAUGCGAAACCUCAGAGCAAAAUAAACUCCAAAGAAGAUUUAACUUUACAGGAAAGGUAUUUGGUGGUAAUUUCCCAAAUUCUCACUAGUAUACAAAUUCAUUCUUUUAUGCUUAUAGAAGUACAAUUUCCCCCCAAGAAUUGUAAAUAAGCCUUUUUAUUGCAUAUUAGGGAGCAUUUCUUCUAAGUGGCCCCUGUAUGAAAGGCUUUGAUUGGGUGCUAAAGACAAGAAAGAGGUUGCAAUCACAUUACUUUAAAGCAAUCCAAAGAGAAGUCACUGCAUUUAUAAAACCGCUGGUCCUUAAGUAUACACAAAAAUGCAGAGUCUUUCUAACAAGGUAACUGCCAUGUACUAUGUAUGAGCUUGCUGUUACUUUUUUCUCUCUUACAUAAAGAAAAGGGGAAAGGGGAGACAUCCUAACUGGGAGUUACUGGUUCAAAAUCCCUCAAAAGCUGAGCUGGCAGCUGGAGUCUCUGUUUAUAAAAAGCCAGGGCUGGUUCUGCCUGAGCCCAAUUUAGAUCACAGCAUCUGGAUUUAAACACAGGCAGCAGCAGGUUUCCAGGUCAUGAUUGCUGCGAAGUGAAGACUGGAGCCCCCUCGCCAGCCUGAUUCCAAACAGAGAGGUGCUGGAGGGGAGGGAAGCCCAAUCCCAGCAGCCAGGGAGCAGCAGGCUCAGCAGCAUCUGCAUACACACAUCAGCAAGCUCUGGGAGUCCACUGAGGCUCACACCUGAUGGUCCUCAUUCACCUUAGUCAUGGCCAGAAGAUGCCCCUCAGCAGUGACUUCUUUCUUGAAGUGACUGUUGUUCAAAUUAAAUUACAGAAUCUGGUAAGAAAAUGGAAGGGCUCAGAGAGAGCAUGUACUUCCCACUAUAAGCCUCAUUUAACUCUGCUCCACUGCAGAGGAAAACUGGGUAAAGGCUGGGAGAGAAAUGGAAAUGCUUUCUUUUUUUAAGUGAAGGAAAGAAAUCUCAGCCAUGGUAAUUACAAGAAAGGCUAUGAACUGAAAUCUGCAGGAUGGAAAAUAGUAACUCGAAAUCUGUGUGGCCCAAUUGAAAUCUCCAUCAGAAUUCACCUUGCACCCUCCUUGAUUUUCUUUGGAUGUGAUCUGUCUAGAAUGUUGGUGAUUCUGCAGCUGUAGGUUUUAUGUGUGAUAAAAAAAAAAAAAGUCCUUACCUGCUGCUUUCUCUCCCUUCCCCCCAUCAUCUCUCUCCUCUCUCUCUCUUCCCUCUUUGUUGUGAAUGUCAGGGCUGGCAGUGUCACACAGUCUGACAUGAUUAGUGUUUCUGACAUUACAGCGGAAGCAGACAGAGAGCUGGGAGUGUGGAUGGAGGGGAAAGGAGUCAGGAUGCACAGCCACUUCAAGGAGCCAAAGGGAAAAGAGGCUUCGAUCCUUUCUGAGACGCCCCUUGAUUGUACGGCAGCUUAUAAACACCCUGGAUUUCCCCUCAUUUAUCCAAUUAGUCCCUCUCCCUGAUUCUGUGGAGAGCCCCAAGGUGUAGAUCUAUUCUGAGAGAUCAAGGCCAGUGGCCCAGAUAUCAGAUAAGACAGAAUCGGAAAUCCAGCGGAUGCUAGGCUGUGCAGUAACAAUCAUGCACUGUGAACAGGUAAUGCUAGUCCACUUCAUGUACUGACGCUCCGCACUUUGUCAUCCUAAUGAUGUUACCUCAUUAAAAGAGAUAAAUGCUCUACUGUUCUCCAGGCAUCUGCUCCAUGCUCUUCUCUUUCCUUCAGCAGCAGGACUCUAAGCUGCUAUACAUUAGGGUCACACUAAAAUCCCAGGCAAGGCUUGCGUCAGGUGCUACUUAUCAAGGUUUUUUAACUGUACUUUCUCCUCUGGACCCCUUCCUGUUUCCCCACAACAGACAAGCACAGAAACAAGAGGUAUAAGAAGAAACAGUUGUAGAAAGUUGUCAUAAUGGAAACUGCUGCGUGCCCAGCAUGUAUGGCCUCUGCCAUGCCAACACUUAACUUACCCCCACAACCUGUGAGACAGACCACAUUCCAUGUAGCUCCAUGUUGAGCAACUUGCGUAAGUUGCUUAGGCAAUGAAGACAGGUGGAGCCAUGAUUUGAACAAGGGUUGAUCCAAAACAAGAGUGUUUUUACAGCCCCAGUUUCAUCCGUGGAACAAGAAAGUAAAGAUGAUUGCAACUUGUUUAGAGCACAGGAAAUGUAGGUGGGAGCCACGGUUCAGCACUCUCAUGCCCAGGAACCUGGUGUUAUGGCAGAGCAGUGGUUUUGUUUCGGCCGCUUUCUCAUUAAAUAAAAAGGUAGCAGUUUUCCAUAAUGAAUGUUUUAUACAUUACCCCGUUGUGUAUCAGGCCUCUAAAACACACAUUAUUAAAGUCUAUUAGAGUCUGUAGUCAGCAGCAUCACUAAUGUGCCUUUGGGGGAAUUAUCACAAUGAAACGGCAUCAGUCUCUCACGAAAUUUCAACUGUUAAAUAUUCUUUUUCUUCAAUAACGUGCCUAUUUUUAGGCACAAUCUCGGCCCAGAGCUGUCACAACAAAUUGUUUAUGGGUUAGGUUUAGGAAUAAUAGAAGCAUACACCGCGAGUUUCGCCCAGCCCUUUUUUCCCGUAAUUUACCACAAUGUCCCCCUGCUCUAAUUAACCGGUGUUCCUGGCCACUAUGACAUGUGUUGACACCUUCCCUCCCUGGCCAGGUUGGAUCUUUUAAUUAAUUGCUUAGAUUUCUGCCUAAUUGAGCCUGGACUCUCAAGAUAAUGCUUAUGCAUUUAAGAAGAAGAAGUUACAAAGCUCUUGCA